UCUCUCUCUCUGUAUAUAUACAUAUACAUAUAUACACACACACAUCUUGGGGAGUUUGUCACAUCUGCUGAAUACGGAUCUACCUCACUCUUUUUAAUGGCUCAUUCUAUGGAUGCAUCAUAACUAACCUGUCAAGUCUCCCAUGGGAAGCUUAGAAGAACUGCAUGAACUGUGGCCCAUCCUGUCCUCAGUUUCCUCAUCUGCAAAAUGGGAGUGACAUAGUAAAUGAGUGUAUACGUGGAAACCACUUCAGGGAGCACGCAAUACACACAAUGUGAUGUCCGGUACUCCAGCAGCCAUUUAAAACCAUAAAGUGGAAGCAGCAUGCUGAAGAUGGUGGAGCAACAAGAUACUGGGUAAAGAGCAAUAAGAUUUUAUGCAACAGAAUCUGAUCUCUGACAUCGAAGGCACCAUGCCAACCCCUGCAUGGCCUACCUCUGGGUCCUUUAUAGCCCCCAACUUGACAGAAAACAAGCAUGAUAAACAGGUUCAAGAAAAUGGAGGAACGCUGGGGAAGUUCUUAAGAGAAAAAAAAAAUGAAUAGAACUGAAGGAGACUUAAAACUACUUGCAAGAAAAAAAACGAAGAAGAAAGCAAUAUUAAUAAUAAUAGGAUAAGUCAUAAACUGCUUGUUGACGCACAUGGAGUCAUCAAGAACUCAUUCCUCUGUUAGCUGAUCCCGAAUGCCCCACAUUUCUGAGAAACCAGCCCCUGGAGCCACCGCUUUGCAGACUCUGUGCUAAGAUUACAGUGGACUCACGCAGGAUAAUAAUCUGUAUUUUGAUGAAACUCAAAAUUAUCAAAAUGCCAUCUUAUGGUUUGCUGACUACUAUGCAGAGGAAUCAUCUUAAGUUACAAAUUUCCAGAAUCAACAGUGUAUCACUUUACUAAUCCAAGAAAGCAAGUCAAGUUUUAGUAAUUUGAUAAGGCACUGAGAGAGGCUCCUGGUGAGUUUACUUUUCUGGCACACCGGUGAGGCAUGAUUAAUUACUAACCAUCUUUCAUAUGUCUGUACCAUUUGACUUUGGAUAUUGGCCGAAGACCCAGGAUUAAGAAGCUCUCAUUCCUAAAUAAAAGCUUGCAAUACAAAGCAUUUUAUUUCAUCAUGUGAACAUUUCUAAGCAAUUGCUCAAGAUUCAAAACCAAUUAGGUUUCUAGUGUCUCUGUACUAUUUUUCUCUGUUACUGCUAAAAAUUAAAUGUUUGAAAUAUCCACAACUGGAAAAAAUAUAAUAAAAAUUAAAAUUCAAUGUCACAAAUUACUGGUUAUUAAAACUUUAAUAGUAGCAAUAAAAUUACAGAAGAAGGUAGAGAAAUGUUUCAACUCAGUCCUCAGACUUUCUCAUGGGUUUGUCUGAAGGUCACUUAAGACCAAUCCACAACUCAGUGCUUCAUAAUGCUCUUAUUUUGAAUAAGCUGGCUUGGUCUAGCAAUUAUGAUACCUUUUAUUGUUUCACUUCAUAUUGCUCUUUGAGAUAUUUUGGCACACUCUUUUUAUACCCUAAACGUUAAUUAUUUUU